rfam:Kitasatospora setae KM-6054 DNA, complete genome.
CCGUGCGCCACGCCUAAUCCAUCCGGGCCCGUCCUCGCGGACGGCCCAGGAGCCGGGGAACCACGUUCCACCGGGGUGAAUCGGGACGGCCCUGGGCCCGACCGUAGGAGACCUUCCACCUCCGAACCCGUCAGCUAACCCGGUCGGCGGCAGGGAAGGAAGGA